AAAAGUAACGAAGACUAGGGUUUAGCAUAUCUGUGGGUCCCACCCUCUUUUUUUUUCACCGCUGUCGUCGUCGUGAUCCUUCGUUUCAGACGAUUCCUCUUCUGGCGUUCAUUUUUAUUGCUCGAUCUUAUAUUAUAUGAUUUCAAUCCAGAUCUUUAUUCGCAUCUGUUCUCAAUCGUUUUCAAUCGUCAUGGUUACUCCAAUUAAUAAUCGUACGCCUCUCCGUAAUUACCAUCGCUGAUAAUCUUCUCAGCCAGGCCAGUAUCUAUCGUGAAGAGAAGAAUGUUGUAGACUUGAAUCACGCUUCCUAGAUACUGCAGCCAACGAUGAAUCAUCUAUUGUUGGAAGUGGUUUUCGGUGGUAUUGUAUAGUUAAGAUUCUGUUGAAUGUCUUCCUGUCCACCGAGAUUCAUACUCCAGAUCUGAUUUUAACAAGAUCAUGCAGCUGGUAAGGUUGACAACAUCUCAAGACACGUUACUAUUUCUGCCCAGCAAACAUUAAACUAACCGAAUGUGUUUAUAAACCUUUAACAAGAAAACUGUUGGCCCUGGAGCACCUUUUACGAAAGAGUCUCUUGAUGAAGCUUAGAUAAAAUUAGAAGCCUUGGACAAGAAAGAUAAGAAAGAAGAAGAACGCCUGGUUUGAAAAACAACCUUGAAUCUUAUGUUUAUGCUACCAAAGAGAAGCUAGAAACACCCGAAUUUGAAAAGGUUUCCACCCAAGAAGAGCGCAAAACGUUUGUUGAGAAGCUUGAUGAGGCAUGUAACAAUUUUCUUCCGAACUCUAUGUAUACCAAUAGGUUCCAACGAUGAGUUCAAGCGUUCGACAGUGAUUAGUGUCUUGUGUACUUUCAGGUGCAAGAUUGUCUUUACAUGGACGGAGAAGAUGCUAAUGCCACAGAGUUUCCGGGGUGACUUGACUCAGUAAAAGCCAUUGGCAGUCCCAUAUCUUUGCAGUCAGAGGAGCUUACAGAACGACCAGUAGCAGUUGACAACGCUCAAAAACACCUAACCAAAAUGAAAGAGAUCAUAAAAGAGUGGGAGACGAACAAAACUUAGCUCCCGAGAGUAAAAAUCGACGAGGUGCCAAAGGAAGCGGAGAAGGUGAAAAGCUGGUUGGAGAAGAAUGACGUUGAGCAGAAAAACUUACUAAGCUUAUUAGGAUUCCAAAGCCAAAGCCAAAGAUAGAGAAAACAACCAAGAAUGACAACACAUCGAAGGAGGCGGGGGAACAGUCAAAGUCUUUAGACUCUACCAAUUCUUCUGAAUCUACCGAAGAAGAAGAAGGGAGCCACGAGGAGCUUUAACAUAUUAUUUAUAAAUAAUAACGGAAUUUUUGUGUGCGUUUUAAGUGUCAAUAGGAAAGGUUAGUAAAGCCAAGCUGGGAUGAGAAGAUAUGAUUCUAUUCCUUUCUCAUCUUCUUCACAAUUUUUUCCAUACAGAAUAUUAAAUUAUAUUAGUUCCUUCUUAUACAGAACA